UACGUAGGCAGCAAGCGUUGUUCGGAGUUACUGGGCGUAAAGAGUAUGUAGGCGGUUGCGUAAGUUCGGUGUGAAAUCUCCCGCUUAACUGGGAGGGUGCGCCGAAAACUGCGUGGCUUGAGUGCGGGAGAGGAGAGCGGAAUUCCUGGUGUAGCGGUGAAAUGCGUAGAUAUCAGGAGGAACACCGGCGGUGUAGACGGCUCGUCUGGACCGUAACUGACGCUGAGAUACGAAAGCGUGGGUAGCAAACAGG
rnacentral:rRNA from 1 species